GGGGGGAGGCCUUCCGAGAAAAUGAAAAGAAAUCAUCUCAGCUGGUAGGGGGAUUUGGGGGCAGGCCGUAGGGAGGGGCCUUCUUCCGGACUCCGGCUUUCGGGAAAUGAAAAGAAAUAGUCUCUGGCGGACCGGUGGCCCGGCGCGCCGAGCGAAGGGGGGGUGCCGAAAAAGAAAAAAAAAUAAAGAAACUUACCGGUGGAGGCAGGGGGGGUGGACCGAUCACUGAUGGAGGAGUGGAGCCAUGGUGGUCCUGGACCUCCUCACCUCUUGGUGGUCUUGCCUUGCCGGGCCGGAGAGAUCGGGACGGGUGGAGCGUGGAGGCGGGACCGGGAUGCCGGGAUGCGGUCACUGGUGGAGCAUGGAGGCGGGAUCGGGAUGUCGGAGGUGGAGGCGGAGGCGUGGAGGCAGAGGCGGGAUUGGGACGCCACCACGCCGGGAUGUGGGCGAGCGGGGGGCCUUCUGGGAGCGGGGGCCUAAGGCAAGGACUUCGGUGGCCUUGCCCUUCAGCCACCCCUACAUACCUGGUUAGAAGCCUAGGCUCAAUGCCGGCCUUAGUAGUUAUCUGCAGAAGC
rnacentral:lncRNA from 1 species